rnacentral:rRNA from 1 species
GAUGAACGCUGGCGGCGUGCUUAACACAUGCAAGUCGAACGGAAAGGCCCAAGCUUGCUUGGGUACUCGAGUGGCGAACGGGUGAGUAACACGUGGGUGAUCUGCCCUGCACUUCGGGAUAAGCCUGGGAAACUGGGGCUAAUACCGGAUAGGACCACUUCUUGGAUGUUGUGGUGGAAAGUUUUUUCGGUGUGGGAUGAGCUCGCGGCCUAUCAGCUUGUUGGUGGGGUAAUGGCCUACCAAGGCGUCGACGGGUAGCCGGCCUGAGAGGGUGUACGGCCACAUUGGGACUGAGAUACGGCCCAGACUCCUACGGGAGGCAGCAGUGGGGAAUAUUGCACAAUGGGCGCAAGCCUGAUGCAGCGACGCCGCGUGGGGGAUGACGGCCUUCGGGUUGUAAACUCCUUUCGCUAGGGACGAAGCGUUUUGUGACGGUACCUGGAGAAGAAGCACCGGCUAACUACGUG